rnacentral:rRNA from 1 species
GUGUCAGCAGCCGCGGUAAUACGUAGGGUGCAAGCGUUAUCCGGAUUUAUUGGGCGUAAAGGGCUCGUAGGCGGUUCGUCGCGUCCGGUGUGAAAGUCCAUCGCUUAACGGUGGAUCCGCGCCGGGUACGGGCGGGCUUGAGUGCGGUAGGGGAGACUGGAAUUCCCGGUGUAACGGUGGAAUGUGUAGAUAUCGGGAAGAACACCAAUGGCGAAGGCAGGUCUCUGGGCCGUUACUGACGCUGAGGAGCGAAAGCGUGGGGAGCGAACAGGAUUAGAUACCCGCGUAGUCC